rnacentral:ncRNA from 1 species
UUUCGUCCAUAGCAAACCGGGGGCGACCCCGGGACGCAAAGCCACGGAGCGUAGACGGAUCGCUCGCCGGGCUGCCGAU